rnacentral:rRNA from 1 species
UACGUAGGUUGCGAGCGUUGUCCGGAUUUACUGGGCGUAAAGGGCGUGCAGGCGGUUUGUUAAGUGCAGGGUGAAAGCUCCCGGCUCAACUGGGAGAGGUCCUUGCAUACUGGCGAACUCGAGGGAGGCAGAGGAAAGUGGAAUUCCCGGUGUAGUGGUGAUAUGCGUAGAUAUCGGGAGGAACACCUGUGGCGAAGGCGGCUUUCUGGGCCUUACCUGACGCUGAGACGCGAAAGCGUGGGGAGCGAACCGG